AGCGAACGCUGGCGGCAGGCUUAAUACAUGCAAGUCGAGCGCCUGUAGCAAUACAGGAGCGGCAGACGGGAGAGUAACACGUGGGAACGUGCCCUUUGGUUCGGAACAACACAGGGAAACUUGUGCUAAUACCGGAUAAGCCCUUACGGGGAAAGAUUUAUCGCCAAAGGAUCGGCCCGCGUCUGAUUAGCUAGUUGGUGGGGUAAUGGCCCACCAAGGCGACGAUCAGUAGCUGGUCUGAGAGGAUGAUCAGCCUCAUUGGGACUGAGACACGGCCCAAACUCCUACGGGAGGCAGCAGUAGGGAAUAUUGGACAAUGGGCGCAAGCCUGAUCCAGCCAUGCCGCGUGAGUGAUGAAGGCCUUAGGGUUGUAAAGCUCUUUCGGCGGGGAAGAUAAUGACGGUACCCGCAUAAGAAGCCCCGGCUAACUCGUGCCAGCAGCCGCGGUAA
rnacentral:rRNA from 1 species